UAAAGUAUCACCUUGAGGA
rnacentral:piRNA from 1 species